AAAUGAACCUCGGGACAGUGCAUAGAUGAAUAGAAAUGAGUUCAUUUAAGUUAUAAGUGCUAGCCGAAAACAAGCCUGGUGUAGGGGAUGCUGUAGCUACAUCUGCUUGGAGGCUGGCUACAGGGGUCCCUGACCAUGCCUGGGCGUGGUCAGGGGACUUAGAGUGAGGGAUGCUUACGUGGAGUUCUGCUUUCGGUUUCACUUUUGGUUUGCUGUACAGACUGCUGCCCUCCGGCUGGCUAGGUUGCUCUGUGCUCCCGGCUCACAGCAGACCCGCUACACCACACAGCGCAUUCCGGUUGCCAUUGAGCUGCUCAGAACCGACCACCCAGCUGGGAGACUUCCACAGACCUCCCCACGGUUACUGUCGCAGUUUCUAGCUGCAGGCACCAGACUGGCUCGGACUUCCACAUACCCGUGCCAGGAGGCCUCCUGCCCUAGAGCCGAGGAGGCCUCAGCUUUCAGCAGGGCCUGCAGCUUCCCCUAGCCACCACAGGUGUACAGCCGCAUCUUUUUCAAAAUAUUGGAAAUUGAAAUGUUUCAUGAGGAUAUCAUUACUAGGCUUAAAGAUCAUUGGGAUGCCUCAGAGGCAGAAUCACUCCAGUCCAAGGCACCUACUCUACCCAGGAAAACUCAUCUCCAGAAGUCCAAGAACACUGCCUGGGUAGAUACUUAAGAAGAGAAGGUAGCUAUAACCAUCAAACAAAAGGAAUGUGCCAUAUGGUAAACUUUACAGCUGUCUCUCAGAGAACCCUAUUUCUCUUUAUUUCCUAGUCCCUAUCCAAUUAAACCAAUGCUGGAUUUAGAGGUGGAUUUGGCUUUCCUCCUCUAAAAUCCAAGCACAUUGUUUAACUAAACUUUAGAGUUUCUGUAUUAUAUCAAGAAGCCAAUUGAUGUAAUAUAAAAUAAGAAAAGAAUUUGGGGCCUGUCUUUGUCUUUUCUUGGCUCUUUCUUUCAAGGUGUACACCCUCUCAUAAUUGUUAUUCCCCCAUGGUUGCCUUUCCAAGCAUGUUUACAUACACAGGCAAACAUUUCUCUGCUGUUUGAGUCCCACACAGCCAAUGAAGACCUGCCUGACAGCAAUCCCUGGACACCCCAGAAAGAAAAUGGGCCACACCUCCACACCUGCACUGGAUCCAACUUGCUCCAUUUCAGCUGACACUCUGGCCAGAGGUUCGGGUACUGACUUCAAUCAAGUUGAGGAUUUCAAGCAAGAUCUUCAAUCAAGCGAAUCCCAUCUAUCAUGGACUGGAUACAAUCCAUUCAAGACUUUCACUAUACUAACAUUUUCUUCCUACAGGACCCCACAUGACUAUCAUUGUCCCAUUUCAGCAGGAAAUAACUUGGAGAAUGCUACACCUCCUUUCCCCCAUUGUUGUCACGUAGGAUAGUGUAUAUACCUAGUUAGGGAUAGCUUUCUAUUGUUUAUGGUUGGGAUUGGAAGGAGGUGUUCAGGUUUGGACACCUCUUUCAGAUGACUUUAGGGUUUAGUUAAAAUAGAUAGUUAGG
rnacentral:lncRNA from 1 species